GCGAUCGUACCAACACUAAUGCACCAGAUCUCAUCAGAACUCCGUAGUUAAGCAUGCUUGGAUGAGAGCAGUACUAGAACAAAUGAUCCCCAGGGAAGUCCUCGUGCUGCAACCA